AUGUGAUCUCUUAAAGCUACUGACUCUCUGCAAGUAACUGAAUUUGCCUCCAAAAAUGUCAGCUGGUGGAUUGGUGUGCUGACUUUCCUCCAGAGAAGGUACUGGGCAUAUAGCUCAAAGUCCGCUGUCCGGCCCAA
rnacentral:lncRNA from 1 species